rnacentral:pre_miRNA from 1 species
GAAGUACUCCCUCUGUCCGGAAAUACUUGUCAUCAAAAUGGAUAAAAGAGGAUGUAUCUAGAUGUAUUUUAGUUCUAGAUACAUCUCUUUUUAUUCAUUUUGAUGACAAGUUUUUUCGGACGGAGGGAGUACUAU